rnacentral:tRNA from 2 species
GGUUCUAUAGCUCAGCCGGAUAGAGCAAACGUUUCCUAAACGUUAGGCCGGGAGUUCGAAUCUCCCUAGGACCA